rnacentral:rRNA from 1 species
CAAGUCGCGUGAGGGAUGAAGGUUCUAUGGAUCGUAAACCUCUUUUAUAAGGGAAUAAAGUGUGGGACGUGUCCUGUUUUGUAUGUACCUUAUGAAUAAGGAUCGGCUAACUCCGUGCCAGCAGCCGCGGUAAUACGGAGGAUCCGAGCGUUAUCCGGAUUUAUUGGGUUUAAAGGGUGCGUAGGCGGCCUUUUAAGUCAGCGGUGAAAGUCUGUGGCUCAACCAUGGAAUUGCCGUUGAAACUGGGAGGCUUGAGUAUGUUUGAGGCAGGCGGAAUGCGUGGUGUAGCGGUGAAAUGCUUAGAUAUCACGCAGAACCCCGAUUGCGAAGGCAGCCUGCCAAGCCAUGACUGACGCUGAUGCACGAAAGCGUGGGGAUCAAACAGGAUUAGAUACCCUGGUAGUCCACGCAGUAAACAAUGAUCACUAGCUGUUUGCGAUACAGUGUAA